CUGCGUAGUCUCCUACAGCGAAGCCCUGCACCGUGGCGGUCAAUUUCGUUGCCGCGGUGGUCUCUGUUUUGCCCCUGUCCUCGAGCUGGAUACGCGCUGCGUGCCGUGCUGCAUGGGCACACACACACACACACACACAGACAGACACACCUACUCAAGUGCGGAAGUGUUUCCAGCCCACCCCCAACCCACCCAUCUCUUCAUCUCCUUUCCCUGUAUCUCGGUGCGUGUGCGCCGGUGUGUGUCGCCCUUCGUAAUCAUCGUAGCGCGUAUCUGCUACUCGCUCACACGAUGCUGCGCCGCAAUGCAUCAGUGCCGGAGCUGCGGCUUUGUCUGCUCGCCGCGGCGUCACCACACUCGUCGAAAUGCGCCGCCGUCUCCGUCGCCCUCCUCGCCACUCGCCGCGCCUUCUUUGGCAAUUUCGGCAAGCAGUGGGGCAGCGCGGGUGGCAUCGGUGCCUCCUCCGCGACGACGACUGGUUGCAGCGCAAGCAGCACAAGCAGCAGCUCCAGUCAGAACUCGAGCGCUGGCGUGCCGCCCGGCUUCUCUUCCGGGUUUGACCUGCAGAAGCUUCAGACCAUGCAGCAGCUCUUCAACAGCCAACCGAAAGAGAAGCAAGAGCAGAUGAUGAGGCAGGCGAUGGAGAUGCAGAAGAUAAUGAGCAAGAUUCCCGGCUUCGGCAAGCUGGCGCAGAACAACACCAAGGUGCUAGAGCAGCUCAUGAAGAUGCAGCAGCAGGCACCACCGCCGCCCUCUCCCUCCACCACCACGACGCCGGCGAAUGCUGCACCCGCCAGCGCGUCCUCCACGGGCGCCGCCGCGUCUGCGGCGUCGUGUCCGCGACGGGACCUCUUUAGUAGCGCAGCCGCGUUGAGCUCCAAGCGCUUGAAUGGAAGCGGUAGCAGUGGUGGCCCCUCGUUGGACGAGCUGAGGAAGGUGAACCUCGGCCCAGAGAUCGAGGCCCUCUUUCAAGAGCUCCGCACCAUCCGCAGCCGCAAGAACGAGUACCGUGACAAGUACUACCAAGUCCAGUCCACGCUGGAGGCACUGCAGCGGGAACACAAGGACCUGACCACACGUGAGGCGAGCCUACGGAGCAAGCUAGCCAAGGUGGAGCAGGAGGUAAUGCUGCUCACCUCCGAGAACAUGGAUCUGCGAGACAGCAGCAAGAGCGUAAGGCAGUUGACACAGUCCAACAGCCAGCUCAAGGCCGAGGUGGAGCAGCUGAAGACGGCUGCGCAGUUAAGCACCGCUCCAGGCACGACCACGUACGUUGCUCUGCAGCAGCUGCUCCAAGAGCGCGAGGAUGCACUGCGCUCCCUGCAGCGAAAGCUGGACCGCAUGCGUCGCCGCGAUCCGCUGCUGCAGUUCUCGCUUGCCUGCAGCAACGUUAGCCGACUUUGUGCUAGCGCCAAGGGCGAGGACGUGGGUAGCGCCGGCGCCGCCGCGGUAGCAACUGAGGCAAGCCAGGAGGCAGCCGAGAAAGCCUUUGCGGAGCUGCAGGCCAAGUAUCAGGACCGCCAGCAGGCGGCCUGGGAGGCGGCGGCGCACGAUCACGCUGCGGCCGCUGCCGCAUACGUGGCGGUGGUGCGACGCUACGUAAUGAGCAAUGUGCCUCACUCGAACUACGACGCAGUCGUCACAUUCACAGGCGAUGCGGAGGCGCUGCGCACGUAUUUUUCUAGCGUUGGCUUCGAGGUGGAGAUGGUCGCGGGAGAGCGCGGUCGGGCGCACGUGACCGCGGCAUCAGACGCCUUGCCCUUUUCCAGCGCACCGGGACCGUUCGGCUACGCGUUUGCGGUGAGCCUGGCCAGAGGGACGGCGCGAGCGGAAAGCGGUGGCACCGGCGCUGUGACUCCCGCCUCUGCAUUCACGGUGACGAGCGCGCACCCGUUCGUCUCUGCAGCCCUGGUGCGGAACGCGAAGCGGUGCAGCGUCGCUUACGAGACGGCGCGCGCCAGCGGCCCAGGUGGGCAAGCCACGAACGUCACAGAAACGCAGGUGUACGCGAAGCUGGCGAUUGACGGUGCCCCGGCGUACACGGCGGAGGCACAAGAUUCGCGCAGCGCGCUCAGCAACAAGGAGGCCGCCCUUGACAAGCUUCAGCAGCAGCGCCGCCUGCAGUUCAACGAUACACUGGCAAAGCAGGAGAAGGCUGAGCUCGUGCAGGCGCAGUUAGUGACCAAGAUGCAGGGCCAGGGCGGCUUUGCCUUGGAGGAGGACGUACAUGUCCUGGUGCAGGAGGCAGCCACAGCGAAGCUGGUGGCCGCAGGGGAUGCCGCGCUCGUGCAGAUGCUGAAGCAGCUCGGUGCCUUGGCCGCCGCGGCGUAGAGGACGCCGUCGGCAAUGCGGAAGGAGAAACAGAGGAGAGCGGAGAGUUUGCCCGCUCGCCAGCGUCGACCCCACCCUCGGACACCUCCUCUCUAAGCCUGCGUGCUGCGUGUGUGUGUGUGUGUGUGUGUGUGUGUGUGUGUCUGUUAACGAGUUUGUGUCCGUCUUUUUCGGUAAGGAAGAUAAAUCAACUGCGCGGAGAGAAGGAGAGAGGCGGGUCGUGUGCGCCCGUUCGCUGCCCACCCAUCCUACCAACGAACGAAUCCUCCACCCACACCCACCCUCUACCCACCCCUCUUUCUCUGCUGUGUCGUGCGCAUCACGCGCAG
rnacentral:misc_RNA from 1 species